rnacentral:rRNA from 1 species
AGUUCGAUUCUGGCUCAGAUUGAACGCUGGCGGGAUGCUUUACACAUGCAAGUCGAACGGCAGCACGGACUUCGGUCUGGUGGCGAGUGGCGAACGGGUGAGUAAUGUAUCGGAACGUGCCUAGUAGUGGGGAUAACCACGCGAAAGCGUAGCUAAUACCGCAUACGCCCUUCGGGGGAAAGCGGGGACCUUCGGGCCUGCACUAUUAGAGCGGCCGAUAUCGGAUUAGCUAGUUGGUGUGGGUAACGGCUCACCAAGGCGACGAUCCGUAGCUGGUUUUUGAGAGGACGACCAGCCACACUGGGACUGAGACACGGCCCAGACUCACGGGAGGCAGCAGUGGGGAAUUUUGGACAAUGGGGAAACCUCGAUCCAGCCAUCCUCUGCGGUGAUGAAGGCCUUCGGGUUGUGGUAAAGCACUUUUGGCAGGAAAGAAACGGCACGGGAUAAUACCCCGCAACUGACGGUACCGCAGAAUAAGCACCGAUAACUACGUGCCAGCAGCCGCGGUAAUACGUGGGUGCAAGCGUUAAUCGGAAUUACUGGGCGUAAAAGCGUGCGCAGGUUCGGAAAGAAAGAUGUGAAAUCCCAGAGCUUAACUUUGGAACUGCAUUUUUAACUACCGAGCUAGGAGUGUGUCAGAGGGAGGUGGAAUUCGCGUGUAGCAGUGAAAUGCGUAGAUAUGCGGAGGAACACCGAUGGCGAAGGCAGCCUCCUACAACACUGACGCUCAUGCACGAAAGCGUGGGAGCAAACAGGAUUAGAUACCCCGGUAGUCCACGCCCUAAACGAUGUCAACUAGCUUUCGUUGGGGCCUUCGGGCCUUGGUAGCGCAGCUAACGCGUGCAAAGCUGACCGCCCGGGGAGUACGGUCGCAAGAUUAAAACUCAAAGGAAUUGACGGGACCGCACAAGCGGUGGAUGAUGUGGGAUUAAUUCGAUGCACGAGUGCCCUAUCGCACCUGACAUGUCUAAAAACCCGAAGAGAUUGGAGUACCGUGGUGGUAAAACAACACAGGUGCUGCAGUAUCAGCCACCGGCCGACGUGAGGCUGGUUAGUUCCGGCACGGCGCAACCCGAGCCGCUGUCGCUACGCUUAAAGGCGACUCUACGAGACUGCCAUACAAGUUCGAGAGGUAGUAGAUUUGACGCCGUUCCGCCCUAGCGGUAGCUUCACACGUCAUACAAUGGUCGGGACAGAGGGUCGCCAACCCGCGAGGGGAGCCAAUCCCAGAAACCCGAUCGUAGUCCGAUCGCAGUCUGCAACUCGACUGCAGAAGUCGGAAUCAAGCAAUCGCGGAUCAGCAUACAGGUGAAUACGUUCCCGGGUCUUGUACACACCGCCCGUCACACCAUGGGAGGGUUUUACCAGAAGUAGUUAGCCUAACCGUAAGGAGGGCGAUUACCACGGUAGGAUUCAUGACUGGGGUGAAGUCGUGAUUAUAG